CCUGAGAGGACAGCCUGCCCGAGGACAGAGUCAGCAGAGAACAGACAGUGAAAACCAACCUGGAUGAGUGGAGCCUCCAUAUCUCAUCACGUGUGAAGCAAACCUACACGUGGUCUUGACAUUGGGUCACCUUCAUCACAGUGCCUGUAGCAUUGAACACGUGCAGCCUUGGUUUGCCCACCAUUCCAACCCAUCUCCACGCUGAUUUCUCAGGUGAGGUUUUCAGCUAUCAGGAACUGACUGAAUGAUUCCAAAUGAGAACAAGGAAGAUAUCUAGAAAAACAUGGAG